GAUGAACGCUGGCGGCGUGCCUAAUACAUGCCAGUCGAGCGACCGGACGGGAAGAUUGCUUUUUUGAUGUUAGCGGCGGACGGGUGAGUAACACGUGGAUAAGCUACUUCUUUGACUGGGAUGAUUUCGGGAAACCGGAGAUACUAACGGCGCAUAUUUUGUACCGCAUGGUUCAGAAGUGAUUGACGGUCUUGGCGUCUCUUUUAGCUGGAUCCGGGCUGGAUUAGCUAGUUGGUAAGGUACCGGCUUACCAAGGCAACGAUGCAUAGCCGGUCUGAGAGGGUGAUCGGCCACACUGGAACUGAGACACGGUCCAGACUCCUACGGGAGGCAGCAGUAGGGAAUCUUCCACAAUGGGCGAAAGCCUGACGCAGCAACGCCGCGUGAGUGAAGAAGGUCUUCGGGUUGUAAAGCUCUGUUAUUAGGAAAGAACAGAUGCAUAAGAAACUGUGCACAUCUUGACGGUACCUAAUCAGAAAGCCACGGCUAACUACGUG
rnacentral:rRNA from 1 species